ACAUUUGAAAUUUAAGAUUUGCUCAAUGUAUUCAAUCCUACAACAAGAUUUGGUUCCAACAAAAUAACAAAUGUAUAAAUAUGUAUAUAUCAAGCAAUUUAUGAACGCUUUUUUAGUUAAAGUCCCGCUCUUGCUGUUUAACUUUAGUAUUUGGUCUUUGACCAUAACAGUAUUGUUUUCAAGAAGACGCAAAGUCGUUAUGUGCGUUUAUAUUUCUUUCUUUCGUUUCAUUCAUGUGUCCACUUUGAGCCAAAUGCUACUUCUUCGGAAAUGGGAGAGACUGUUACGACUUUCUUGCUUCCCAAUGCCCUAAUGGCAAAACCAUGUUUAUUCCAUUUUUCAACACUAAGAAA
rnacentral:lncRNA from 1 species